rnacentral:rRNA from 1 species
UACGGAGGAUGCGAGCGUUAUCCGGAUUUAUUGGGUUUAAAGGGUGCGUAGGCGGGUUAUCAAGUCAGCGGUAAAAUCGUGGAGCUCAACUCCAUCCAGCCGUUGAAACUGAUGAUCUUGAGUGGGCGAGAAGUAUGCGGAAUGCGUGGUGUAGCGGUGAAAUGCGUAGAUAUAUGGAAGAACACCAGUGGCGAAGGCGGCUCUCUGGUCUGUAACUGACGCUGAGGCUCGAAAGCAUGGGUAGCGAACAGG